GACGAACCUUGCUAACGUUAUUCGGAAUUACUGGGCUUAAAGGGUGCGUAGGCGGUGCGGAAAGUCGGGUGUGAAAUCCCCCAGCUCAACUGGGGAAUUGCGCCUGAAACUACCGUGCUCGAGGAAGACAGAGGUACGCGGAACUUAGGGUGGAGCGGUGAAAUGCGUUGAUAUCUACAGGAACUCCGGUGGCGAAAGCGGCGUGCUGGACCUUUUCUGACGCUGAGGCGCGAAAGCUAGGGGAGCAAACGGG
rnacentral:rRNA from 1 species